UUCAGACGAUGCGUCAUGCAUAUCAAUAAGCGGAGGAAAAAGAAACUAACAAGGAUUCCCCUAGUAACGGCGAGUGAAGCGGGAAGAGCUCAAAUUUGAAAUCUUAAAGGGUUUCCCUUUACGAAUUGUAGUUUAAAGAAGUGUUUUCUGUUGAGGUUUUGGUAAAAGUUGCUUUGGAAUAGGACAUCAUAGAGGGUGAGAAUCCCGUAUUUGACCUUUACUUUCAACUUUGUGAUACACUUUCAAAGAGUCGGAUUGUUUGGGAAUGCAGUCCAAAAUGGGUGGUAAAUUUCAUCUAAAGCUAAAUAUUGGCGAGAGACCGAUAGCGAACAAGUACCGUGAGGGAAAGAUGAAAAGAACUUUGAAAAGAGAGUUAAACAGUACGUGAAAUUGUCAAAAGGGAAGCGUUUGACACCAGUGUUGUUUUUCUGAAAAUCAAUUAAAGAACUGUUUAUGCUAAGCUGUUUAGACUUUAUCAGCUAUCUGUUUAGUUUUGAGCUUUUCUUUAAUGCACUUUUCAGUUAACAAGUCAACAUCAAUUUCUUUUGCUGUAAAAAAAGCUUGAGGAAGGUGGCUUGAGAUUCGUCUUAAGUGUUUAUAGCCUCUUGCCUAUGCAGUCGGAGAGAUUGAGGUCUGCAGCGUAGAUCCUUCGGGGCUAAAUGCAUUUGUGCUAAGUUAUAGCAUUUUAUAGACAACUUGUUGACUAUGAUUUGUCUUGUAGCUUACUCGCUUAUGUUAUUUUACCUACGCUUAGGAUGUUGACACACGCGCGUGCUCG
rnacentral:rRNA from 1 species